GAUGAACGCUGGCGGCGUGCCUAAUACAUGCAAGUCGAGCGAACAGACGAGGAGCUUGCUCCUCUGACGUUAGCGGCGGACGGGUGAGUAAAACGUGGAUAACCUACCUAUAAGACUGGGAUAACUUCGGGAAACCGGAGCUAAUACCGGAUAAUAUAUUGAACCGCAUGGUUCACUAGUGAAAGACGGUUUUGCUGUCACUUAUAGAUGGAUCCGCGCCGCAUUAGCUAGUUGGUAAGGUAACGGCUUACCAAGGCAACGAUGCGUAGCCGACCUGAGAGGGUGAUCGGCCACACUGGAACUGAGACACGGUCCAGACUCCUACGGGAGGCAGCAGUAGGGAAUCUUCCGCAAUGGGCGAAAGCUUGACGGAGCAACGCCGCGUGAGUGAUGAAGGUCUUCGGAUCGUAAAACUCUGUUAUUAGGGAAGAACAAAUGUGUAAGUAACUAUGCACGUCUUGACGGUACCUAAUCAGAAAGCCACGGCUAACUACGUG
rnacentral:rRNA from 1 species